rnacentral:tRNA from 1 species
ACUCGUUUAGCUAAAUUAGGAUAAAGCUUUAACCUUCUAAGUUAAAGAUUAUAGGUUCAAAUCCUAUAACGAGUA